AAAUGAAUUGACGGGCACCCGCACAAGUAGUGGAGUAUGUUCAUUAAUUCGACGCAACGCGAAGAACCUUACCAGGGUUUGACAUCCUAGGAAUCGAUAAGAGAUUAUUGAGUGCCCUUCGGGGAACCUAGAGACAGGUGGUGCAUGGUUGUCGUCAGCUCGUGUCGUGAGAUGUUGGGUUAAGUCCCGCAACGAGCGCAACCCUUAUUGUUAGUUGCUACGCAAGAGCACUCUAGCGAGACUGCCGUUGACAAAACGGAGGAAGGUGGGGACGACGUCAAAUCAUCAUGCCCCUUAUAUCCUGGGCUUGAAACGUACUACAAUGGCCGAGAACAAAGGGAUGCAAUACCGCGAGGUGGAGCGAACCCCCAAAAUCGGUCUCAGUUCGGAUUGUAGGCUGCAACCCGCCUGCAUGAAGUCGGAAUUACUAGUAAUCGUGGAUCAGCAUGCCACGGUGAAUGCGUUCCCGGGUGUUGUACACACCGCCCGU
rnacentral:rRNA from 1 species